UUGGAUUUCGAUUCAAUAAGAAUGUUGCACUGACAAGCUAUCAAGGUGAUAGUUAGAUAGUGAAAAAUAAGCAUCUUGCCAAGUAUGAUUAUUCAUGCAAGCUAUGUUCUUUAGGCCUAUUUCUAAUACAACCCCUCGAUAGAAAGGUAGGUCAUAGGUAUUGCAAGCACACUCACAGGUAAUUUCUAAUACAACCCCUCGAUAGAAAGGUAGGUCAUAGGUAUUGCAAGCACACUCACAGGUAACAGAUCAAAAGAAGAAGAAAAAACAGCAAAGACAAUGGAUGAACAUAUAUCAAACAUUACAGAUAUGUGGCCAAACAGACCAAGGCACAUUGUUCUAAGAUAUAAUACAGAAGUACAAUUCUACAAAAGAAGAGAAUGCCUGGCCUCCUACUUGUGAUAAACCUAGCUCCUAAAUGAAUUUGAAAAGCUCCUGGUUAGGCUUUUAAACCUCAAGCAUCUAAACAGCUUCCAGCAUUCUAACUUGUCUGAGAACCUGCUCUGAAACUGUAAUUCUCCCUUAUCCCAAGGAGCUCAAGAUGAGCUCUGAGUUAUUAGCUUUACAGUGGAGCGGUCCAGGAACAGCUAC
rnacentral:lncRNA from 1 species